UUAAAGGUGCCAUGGGAAAUGAUAGGAACAAAACUUUAGAGUGCUGGCUGUGUGUUUUCAUGUGCUGGCAGAAGUGUGGUGUCUUGGGGUGCAUAUGUGGGUUUGGGUGAGCAUUGAAUUGUAUUAAGACCGAGGACAAUACUAUAAUUCCUUAGCCCACUAUGAAUUCAGCUAUGUUGCAGACUGCCAUUUAGUCUGCUACUUAACUUUCCGAAAACAGCCUAGUGCUGCAGAAAUGGGACAUCUAUAUUAAGUACAAGUUGCUGUUGUCAAGUAAGAAUCACGAUGGGAGUCAGAGAAAUAUGGAACAAUGAAAGCACGAUUAGAGAGUCGGGCUUCCUGGCUGCUGUGAGGUAUGCGGAUCUCCUCCAACACAUCCUUUUGCCAGAAUGUUUUGCCUCACUUUGGGCCUAGAGUAAUGUCAGCCAGCCAAGUACUACAUCUAUGAAACCAUGAUCCC